CAGACCUGCUGAUUUUUUUUUUUUUUCAGAAGAGCAAACUUAUAUUCACCACCAUAUAGGGAUGACUGAAAUACCUUUUCCAACUUGGGUGGCCUGUGAGGAGUUUCUUGCAAAAUUCUAUGCUGUAUGCUAAACUGAGAUUUCAAGAAAAAUAUUCAACAGGAACAAUUGCUCCGUUCACUACUGUUAUUUUUAUCCAUGACGAUGAUGAUGAUUCUACCCUCUCAUCAUGGAAGGCUUUAUGGUUUUGAGGUCUCAAAACCCAACCCCAGUCACCUGGAAUAUCUCAAUGUAUAGAAUACCAAAGAGAAAAACCAGCUUCCAUGUUCCUCAUCUAGUCAAGCACUCAACACUGAUUGAUUCUCCAAGGUGUGGAAGUUCUUUCAAUCAAAACCUCUUUCUGAUCUCCUUCUAAGGAAAUACAACUAAGGACAAAAACAUGGGUUGGGGAUAAAGUAGAUGGUUGCAUUUAUUUCAAGAGGAUCAUCGAGGUAGACAUGUCUAGCCAGCAGAUGGAUGUAGGAGCAAAAUUUUCUCUAGUAUAAAUGUCAAAGUCACAAAAUAGCAUUAAAACACUCAUUUACUAGGACAUUCUAACAAACGAGAAUUCAAAUUUUAGGAAUAGCAGGAAAACUUAUUAUAAGCCAUACCAAGAA
rnacentral:lncRNA from 1 species